GUGGUCUUGGUGGGAGUCUGGGCCAUUCUUCGUACGGAGGCAGCAGAGAAAGCAGUCAGGAGUGGACUGCGACGCCGUCCUCAGUUUUUGUUUCCCACGUUGGGAAAGGAUGUCACUGUGGCGCGGUCUGCAUCCACGAAUGUACCCCACUGAAGGUGAAUGGGGGGCCGGCGUGACCAGCUGAGUCCAGAGCACCCGGAGAGCCCCGAGCCGGACCUCGUGGAAGAGUUAAAACAGCUAAUGGAAUCACUUACACGAGGAGCUCACAAAACAGGAACAACAAAACUGCAAACGAGAAGAGAGCAAAACCAAUCCCAUAAAUAAUCUAAAAAAUAAUGUAUUCUUUUUUCAUCAAUCACUUCAUAUGAGGUUGAUUUAUUUGUGAUUCCUGGUUUUCCCAUCUAUGCGCACUGUAAAACAAAAAGUAGUUCCACAUUAUUAAAACAAAAGUUCUAUUUAAUUAGAGUGCUGCAUGUACUUCAUAAAAUAUACCUCCACCUCAGAUAAUUACACUUUAGAUUUGAUUAGGAGAGCUGCAGGCCACGCUGGAGAAGAGGUAAACAGUAUGGUGGGGUAUCAGAGAUGAAGAAAAUAACAAUUGUGUAAUAAAGAAAAACGAAGGUGUUAUAUGAAGCAUAUUUUUGUUUUAGAAAGGCGCAGAGCUUGAAAUGUCUAUAUUCUUUUUAAAAUAUGUAAAAAUAAAUGGCAAUUUACUGUUGCUUAUAGCUCAACACAUUAAACUAAAAUGGAAAUCUAUAACAUAUGAUCAUCCAUAGCCAGC